GUGGUUCUUCUGAGGAAAACCAGCUGAAGUAUUACAGAAAGAGGAAAUGCUGCAGAGACCCAGCCGGAAACAGUGCUGGCCAGCUCACGCCUGACCCACCCUUAUUCUAAGCAUAGGGUCUGCCUCUGAAGAGCUAAAGACUUCCUGAAAUUUAAAAAUUAGUGCUUUUAUUUGCUUGUCCUGCUAAGACCGUAGGCAAAGGCCAUCCUCCUCCCAUUGACAGUUUAGAGUGGGCAGAAACAACCACGGUUACCCUAGAAGUAAAUCCAGAGCUGCGGGACGCUGGAGGACAAAACCAACCUUCCAGGGAAGCCGAGGAGAAGUCAUGCCUUCAAAAGAUGAAGAAACUGACAUCUGGAGAAGUUGAAGUAAUUUGCACAAAGAUUCACUUGGCUAACGGAGUUUUGCUCUGUCACCCAGGCUGGAGUGCAAUGGCCCGAUCUCGCCUCACUGCAACCUCCACCUCCCGAGUUCAAGAGAUUCUCCUGCCUCAGCCUCCCAGGGGCUGGGAAGUUCAAGAUCCAGGCCUCAGAAGAUUUGGGGUUUGGUGAGGGCCAUCUUCUCACUGUAGCCUUACAUGGUGGAAGAGGUAAGGCAGCUCUCUGGAACCUCUUUUAUAAGGGCACUAAUCCCUUUCAUGAGAACUCAGCCCUUAUGAACUCAUCGCCUCCUAAAUUCUCUACCUCCUAACACCAUCACUUUGACAAUCAGAUUUCAACAUAUGAAUUUGUGGGAGUCACCAGCAUUGAGACUAUAGCAACCCCUUAUUAGAAAUAAUUCAUGAGGAACUGAAACUGUUAGGAAACCACUGUGUAAAUGCUGGGAAACAAAGUCAGAUAAAUAAUGCUGAUAAUUACCUGACUGCUUUUGGAACUGUCCUUUUUUGUGAACAUGAGACUACAUCAUUGUCAGUUGAUUGCAGAAGAACCACUAUGAUAUUAUAAUGGGGUCCUGACUCCAUGACUGUGUAAUUCAUGGCUUUCUAACGGUUUAUUAUUGACCUAACUUUGCAGCUCCCCUAGAUCCCCUAACUCCACCAUCUUGGGUUGCAACCAAUGACCUGUUAUUGCAAAACAGGUAAUCUCACUUAGAUAAGUAUUAAUCAGAGGGGCUUGACUUCCAGAGUUCAUUUCAAUGGUUUUCAACUCAUUUGUAGAGUUUAACAUCAGUAGCCCUUUCUCUUCCAUAGGAGGGAGAUGAACCAUCCUGUUUGUUCAAUAAUCAGUGAGAGCGUGGCUUUAACGUCUCUUCCACUCCUUUCUAGUUCAGGUCUUUCUUAACUUGAUGGAGAUAGCUUGGGCCAGGGAGGGCAGAGUGAAGAUGAGAUGGCAAAAAAAAAAAAGUUUUGAUCAGCAGCAUUGACUCUGUGCUAAAUACUGUGCUCAGCUCUUUGGAUGUUAUUUCAUUGAAAUGGAAAGAACACUGUAAAGUUGUCUUGUGAGGCACACUUUCCUGUUGAGGAAAUAAAAGCAUUAAAUAACUUGCCCCCAAAUACAAAGCUAUUAGGAUUGAAACAAAGACUUGAGCCCGGGAUCUAUCUAAUUUCAAGGUCCUUGUUUUUUUUCUACUACAUUUCUCUUUGAGAUACAGUUACUCAAAGGUGUCCAAACUUCAGUUAAUGUCAACCUCUGCCUCACUCUGGUCCUGGUGCCUUUCCCAUGUUCCUGAGAAGAUCAUGUGGCACACUUCUCUAAACGUCUCUGUGCCAUAUCUCUUGGGAUCAAAAGGCCAUUCCAAUAAUUCUUCUGCAUUUCUUAAUGUAUGCUCAGAUGGCCCUGGUUUGCAUUUAGAGAAAGGAAGCUAAGACCUUGGUGAUAACUAAAUAUUUAUAUCUAUUUUUUGAUUAUGUGCUUGUAUUUAAUUAAGUGGGUGCCUACUGUUGUGAAAAUACUUUUGAAUACAAUUCUGAAGUUGUGCCAGGGAACUCUGACAAUGGGUAUGCUGGGAGCUGUCUGAUUUCCUUGUCCUAGACAACUCAUACAAUGCAGUAGAAAAAGAAUUCUUUAUUCCCACUGCCUUUCCUUAGCCCUUCUUCAGAGCAGGGGAAGUGUGACUGUAGCUUUAAAUAGUUUAAAUAGUCCUUCAAAUACGGCAAAUAAAACAGUAUCAAUGAAAAAGAAGAUAAAAUGAGUGGAUUACUCAUAUGAGUUUCAGUUUUAUCAUUCAGUUUCACAGAACUCCAAAGAAUAAUGUGAUUAAGUGGUUUCUUUUUGCAAGGAUUUUCCAGGUGAAAGAUCUGAGCUAUAUAUUGAGGAACCAUAGGAUUAAAAUAGACAUGGGUUUGCUUCUAUGACAGCAUUUUGCAAAAUAACAUGACCAGGUACUAUUGCUCAUGCCUGUCACCCCAGCACCGUGGUCAAGGCAAGUAGAUCACUUGAGGCCAGGAAUUCAAGACCAGCCUGGCUAACAUGGCAAAACCUCAUCUCUAUUAAAAAUACAAAACUUAGCCAGAUCUGGUGGCACAUGCCUGUAAUCCCAGCUACUCAGGAGGCUGAGGCAUGAGAAUCACUUGAGCCUGGCAGGCAGAGGUUGCAGUGAGCCGAGAUUGUGCCACUGUGCUCCAGCCUGGGUGAUAGAGUGAGACCCUGUCUCAAAACAAACAAACAAAGCAAACAAAAACACACACACAAAAAAACCCACCUCUGAUGUGACCCAUGGAUAGAAAACAACAAAUUAAGUUUUAAUGAGACUAUAUAUGCUUGUACUUUAAAAUGGGGCUAAUUCAUAGAUAUAGAAAACUAUACUUAUGACAGUUCAUAUAAAUGAGCCACUGGACUGUCCAAAUUUACCUCUUUUUAUUGUAUGGAC
rnacentral:lncRNA from 10 species